CCCUCGCGAGUCGCGAUCGUAGGGCCGCUCCUUCGUCGCCCCUUUCCCUUCCCGCAGGCACCACCUCCUCCCUCCUCGCGACAGCCGCCGCGGCCCCUGCCCGCUCCAGUGCCCGCACGCUCAUGCACCGGGAGCUUGAGCGCGCGCGGCCUGGGGAGCGCUGCCGGCGGCCAAAUCGCGAGGCUCCCGCAUGCGACGAGGGAACUGUCUGCGCGGCUGGCGGAGGCCGCGGGUCGAUGGCCCGGCGAGCGGGGCGACGCGUCCCAGCGCAGCGGAGGCGGAGGAAGCGGCGCCGAUGCGGUGGAGGCGGGGAAAACGUCGCCGACGCGGCGGCAAGGUCCGGCCCGGCUCGGCGCAAGGCAGGGUCGCCGGCGCGUCUCGACGUCACGCGGCGGCGGAGGCUCCUCGACGCGGUGCGACGCGGCGCAACGCAGGUAGCCGGGCUCGUCGGCGUGGCGCGUUGGCCGCGCGACCUGCUGCUUCCGCUGCAGCUUUGCUACCGCCUCCUUUUCUUUCCACCACCGUGGUAGAGCAACAGCAGCACAUCAAGGCAGUACCGUCCCUCCACCGCAAGUGCAUGUGCACCUCAUCUAGCUGCCGCCAAUCCUCCAGCACUCUCCAUUGUGCUCGUUGUUGCAGGUUUGCCUUCUAGGUUUCUAAUCUGAGGAGGGACAAAGAAAAGGUAUGCUUUUUGUAUGAUUUUUGCCUGUCAACUAUAGAGAAAACAGAGAGGUAAGCAUGGUGGCAGUGAUUGCUUCAAGGUAAUGGUCUUUCUUGUUCAGAUAGAUAGAAAUUCAGACAUGUUUCUCUCCCUUUUCUUUCACCAAGGGCAGAGUUGAGGCAGGUGCAUGGAGGAAUGGCAAAGCUGUGUCCACAUAUUUGGACAGUAACCAGGCGUACCUCCAAAAUCCCUGCAUUUAGUUGAGCUCUUGCUAUGCUUGGGCGGAUUCCGUUCUUUGUACAGGAUUGUCUUCUUCCGAUCAAGGUUCAUGUAUUCCAUGAGUUGGAUUCACUAUAACCGGUGGACAACCUGUUUCUCUCUCAUGACGACCUUAUGGAUCUUGUUCAUGGAAUUGUUAUCAAUGAGCUGCUAGCUCUGAUGAUAUUUGAAGUUUUGGAACUUCAAUGCUUCUUUUGGAGGUACUUGGAUGCAGCUGUCCAAUUUCGGGCCAUCGAAAGUUGAAUUCAAUUGCGCAUUCAGAUGAUGGUGCUUCAUAUCUUGUCGGUACAAUGAUUCAGAGAAACUAAGAUAGCCUGGUGCUGUUGGUAAGUAGGUAUGAUUUAGAGUAAUGUUAUCAAGCAGUUCAUAAAGAGACUCAGAUUCUAAGUCAGAGAUAAGUUCACUACUGAUAGAGUGAUAGGAGCCAGGGUGUUAGAUUUGUUUGUGUUACGAUUGAGGAGAGGAAGAGAGAGUGAACUGUGUAUGUAUUGGAGAGAGGCCCUUUGGGCUACAUAUACAUGAGACACACCCCAAACCCUAGAAUAGAGGAAAAUACUGUACUACCCUUGACUAUUAUACUCUAACACCCCCUCUCAAAUGCAACGUGAAUGCAAUGAUGUUGCAUUUGGAGAGUUGACACUAA